UAAUAAGUGUUUAUGGCACUUCUUAAAUCCAUAUCCACCUUGUGUGCAAUGUCAGCCGUUCUCUUUAUGAAAGCGGCCAAACAUCAACUUAUUUUUUAACUGUCUGUCUGAAAACUAUUAUGAAUAAACAAUUCAAAUA
rnacentral:misc_RNA from 1 species